rnacentral:rRNA from 1 species
AUUGAACGCUGGCGGCAGGCCUAACACAUGCAAGUCGAACGGUAACAGGAAGAAGCUUGCUUCUUUGCUGACGAGUGGCGGACGGGUGAGUAAUGUCUGGGAAACUGCCUGAUGGAGGGGGAUAACUACUGGAAACGGUAGCUAAUACCGCAUAACGUCGCAAAACCAAAGAGGGGGACCUUCGGGCCUCUUGCCAUCGGAUGUGCCCAGAUGGGAUUAGCUAGUAGGUGGGGUAACGGCUCACCUAGGCGACGACCCCUAGCUGGUCUGAGAGGAUGACCAGCCACACUGGAACUGAGACACGGUCCAGACUCCUACGGGAGGCAGCAGUGGGGAAUAUUGCACAAUGGGCGCAAGCCUGAUGCAGCCAUGCCGCGUGUAUGAAGAAGGCCUUCGGGUUGUAAAGUACUUUCAGCGGGGAGGAAGGGAGUAAAGUUAAUACCUUUGCUCAUUGACGUUACCCGCAGAAGAAGCACCGGCUAACUCCGUG